GCGACUGUCAGCUCGGUGGAGGAUCAAUCCCUUCGCUGCUGCCGGUGCUUAAGAUGUUUCCCAUUGCCCGCUCCGUACCACAUUCUACCUCUAUUUUAACUCUCCUUCCUUUUUUUUUGAUGUGCUCCAGUCACUCUGGCAGAGACGCUGUGGUGCUUUUGACCUUCAGACUCAGGGCAUCGGUAAGGCGAGUCCACCAAAAUCUGCUGCUGAAUUACCUCCGCGUGCCAACUCCUGAGGCACAAGAUAAAAGACACAUCAGAGAUGCACUUGGCCCUAAAGAGGGUGACCGGCCGGCCAUGACAUCCUGGCCGUAACUCGGCCGGUACCACAGCGGCCCGUCUGCUCACUGUCUCUUUUGAGGGCCACGGUCGAAGUCGCUGCCCGGUCUCACCUUACAAAGGCCACGAAUAUAAAGCCGGCACAGCUACAAAAGGCCCCGUGAAUUCAGAAGCUAGUAUGACAUUUAAUUAGUUCCAUGAAAAUCACAACACAAGGAGCUUGGUUGUGAAGUAUCUGCGGUGCUGUGUGUGAGCGCUGUGCUAAGAAGAUCAAGAAGAGCGGGAUUUUCACACCGGUUGCCAAUGUCUCAUUCUUCUGUCAACACCCACGAUGAAAUGUGACUGUAAUAAACAACAGAACUGGGCCAGAACCGCGGCUCCUUUCUUGCUUUUGCGCUGAGCAGUGGCUCCCUCUAGUGGCAGAUUACUGAACCGCCAGUCCAGGUGGUUAAAGCACAUUAUACCUCAUUUACAAGCAGAACAGAAAACAUCAUGUCUUUGUAAACUAAAAAACAAAAAUAUGGCAGGAAUUCGGAAUUCAAUGACUUGCCAUAAGAAAAGCUACUAAAUGAGUUAAAAAAAUAUGUGGCUGAAAAUCGCUUUAAACAUUUAACAUUGGUGAUAUUAAACCAAACUAACAAUCAAAUAACCCCAAAUAAUUUCAUCUGAAUCUGCAAAGCUGAACUGUUUUAGUGAUUUAUUGAGGAUGUUGAGGUGUAAAACAACAAAGUCCAGCCAUGAAGCAGUUACGGUGUCUUUAAAUACAACUGAAAAUAGUUUCUUGUGCUUCAAUUGUUACACACAAAAAAUGAUGGUGAAUUUAUACCACUGACAUACAAGGAAAACGGUGGGGGUUUAAAAUACUUUGCCAGUGGAGAAGCAUGGUGGAAUAUUUAACAACGUAAUGCGAAACACUUCACUGAAACACAUGAAAAGUAAAAAGCAGCACACCUCUGAAGCUCAGAACCUCAGUUCAACUGCCGUCUGUAAUGGCACACAAAGAAAACCCAACAAAUCUAUUCUUGCCGUUACAGUUGAAGGCACAUACAUGAUGAAACAACACAAACAAAACCAUGAAAAGGGACGGUGAUGCAUUACAUUACAUCAAGCAUUAUAGUCCCUCACGUGUUUUUAGGUUUCUCUUCAUCAACAGAACACUGAAGUCGAGGAUGCGCAGUUCAUUCACUCACGUCCACAGGGAGUGGUUCAUUUAUUAAAGUAUUUAUCUCAUAUUUUCAACUCAAAGAUUAACUGUAUGUAGGAGGAUAUCGUAGUUGAAACUAAAAGUUCACUUAAUCUGAGAUCAAUUAUCACAGUCAAAAACAGAAAUGCGUUCAACACAGAAUCAUGCAGACUUUUCUCCUUCACAAUAUAUUCACAAAAUCAAACAUCUGAACUGUUCCUUGAGCCAUUUGGUGCGUGGGCGACAGGUGUGACUCAACCGCUGGCCGUUCUGGAUGUUGCCGGCCUUCUUUUUUUUAUCUCGCAGAAGCUGAAACGCACACAGCGACACAAGAAUAAAACCACAUCCGUGUGACCAAAAAAUGACACUUUAAACCUCCAAAAAAGGAUAACAAACGGAGCCCUGAAUUGUGUUUGGGAAAGAUCAUUUGAGCCCUCUUGUCAAGUCGGCAGUGCUACACUGAUUAUAUGACAGGACGUGAGGUCAGCAGGGUUAGGGAGUGUUACAUUCUUUCCCGAAGGCACUGCCCAUACAUUCUUUAAAUGAUCACGUCCCAUUACUCAGGCCUGUCAUGGAGGGGGGCAUUUCUGUGUGUGGUACCUGCUGGAAUAAGUUAUUUAAAGUAGAGACUCUCAAUGUAAGGGGGGGCUCACAAAAUCCUUUUUUAUAAAUUGUAAAAUGAUUGAUCUCAUUGGAGGCAGUUAGACAAGGAUACAUAUAGAUUUAUUAGGACUACAGCGGUCUUGAAACAAUUUAUUUUGGAAAGCAUUUCAAACCAUAACUUGAAAAUGUGCCUUUUUAAAAAGUGUUACGGUGGAAGAAGACAAAGCGAUUCAAUUUAAGCAUCGAAGACAGCGUCCUCAUGGUAGCGAGCCUUUUGUUUUAUUGUUGCUGUGAUGUGGAGGGGAUCCUCAGAGAAUGAUUCUCCCAUACGUACAUACUUGCCUUAAAACAUACUGUCUGAUAUUAUACUCCAUCUCUGAUCCCUUAAAUCCAAGACACUUGACUCUCUAAAAAACAGAUUUGUUAACGAACCUGGGGGCGGGGGGGGCGUCGGAUUACAAGGUCUCAUGUGUGCGUUUUGCAGUCAGAUAAGAACUUAAGCUGCACUCCAAAGACGUAGCAACAUAAACACGCUCUUCCUUAGCAGAAUUCCUAAAGCAUUACUCCGUUUCCCGCUGCAGCUCGCAGACCAAGUACCGGGGGGGCGGAUUAGUCGGUGGAAGGAAGGUGGGUCGUUCUCUUGAUUUUUGUUCAUGGGUCGGUUGAAGGGAUACUGAGGCUGUGUGGGAGUUUCACAUGGGACCCUGUGGAUGUGCUCACCCCUCCCCAACCAACAAACACGCACACGUCCUGUCAGCCGCGGGCCGCACUGACAUUUACUGUGCGCACAAUAGCUCCUGUCCAAAAUAAUCAGUGUUUAUGUUAGGAAGUCCCUAUCUCUCUAGCCCUGCUGCUUGUUCGGGGGUGGGUGGGGGUCGUGG
ensembl:lncRNA